UGGGGAAUAUUGCACAAUGGGCGCAAGCCUGAUGCAGCCAUGCCGCGUGUGUGAAGAAGGCCUUCGGAUUGUAAAGCACUUUCAGCGAGGAGGAAGGUGGUGAAGCUUAAUACGUUCAUCAAUUGACGUUACUCGCAGAAGAAGCACCGGCUAACUCCGUGCCAGCAGCCGCGGUAAUACGGAGGGUGCAAGCGUUAAUCGGAAUUACUGGGCGUAAAGCGCACGCAGGCGGUUUGUUAAGUCAGAUGUGAAAUCCCCGGGCUCAACCUGGGAACUGCAUUUGAAACUGGCAAGCUAGAGUCUCGUAGAGGGGGGCUAGAAUUCCAGGUGUAGCGGUGAAAUGCGUAGAGAUCUGGAGGAAUACCGGUGGCGAAGGCGGCCCCCCUGGACGAAGACUGACGCUCAGGCUGCGAAAGCGUGGGGCAGCAAACAGGAUUAGAUACCCUGGUAGUCCACGCUGUAAACGAUGUCGAUUUGGAGGUUGUGCCCCUUGAGGCGUGGCUUCCGGAGCUAACGCGUU
rnacentral:rRNA from 1 species